UAGUGUUGUACUCUCUUUUUGUAAAAGAUGAGGAAAGUUGAGCAACGUUUUGUCAACAGAGGACCGAUUUGUAAAUGUAUUUUUUUUCAUGCUGUUCGGCAAAACGGCAGGCCGAGUUUAAGAAGCUGACCGAUACGUUCGCUUUUCAAACUGGCCGCCUGCGAGCUAUUUGUGACCAAAUGAUGGCAUUCUACAUGUUUGUGUUCUGCGUUACUAUUUUACAUUGAAUUUGAAUCAAACAUGGCGCAUUUCACUAGCAAAAUGUUCAAAACAAAAUACAUACAGUAGUUUUGUAUUUUUGAACAUCAGUUAUCUUAUUGCUAACGUAUCCUGGGACAUGCCUUAGACAAGCUAAUGAAAGGUGGAAUUGAAUGUACGGUAAUUGCAAAGCAUCAAACGACUGCUACUUGAACACACGGAACAGCGUCACAUACUGUACAAUUAGACUCUGUCUAAUAGAGCCAACAAGCAACAUUACGCACAGGCAUAUUCUGUUCGCACACACAAACACACAAAGUGCAUCUGUCUACAUUACAGCUGGCGGCAUGGCUGGAGUGUUGUUAUCUGCUUUGAGCACCACCCUUGAUUCAAUGUCAUGACCUAGUGCCAGUAACCAAAUAAAUCCACUCAGAACACUCUGUGGCGCCCGCCGGAUUUCUGAUUGGUUUUAUUUUGGGGAGCUGAGAGGAGUGAAUAUUUAAGAAAAGAGCUGAAACCGCAAUGUACAGUCGCUUCCUGAUCUAGACAAUAACGGACGGUUUUUAUUGAUUGAUGUCGCAGUAUGCAUGCGAUUAUGCUCAGAGUCCUACUUGCGGAGUUCCUUGCUAAUAUCUUGCUUUUGAAACUGUAAAUGCUAAUGCUAAGCUAGCGGGACAAUGGAGGCGAACAACAAAAGAACAACAGAAGGACAAAAGGUUCCAAAACAAGGGUGCCAAACACACUCAGACUAAUUACGAGGUACAGCUGGGUAGGACACAGGGGAAACGACGGGGAGGAGUUCCGGGCGCAACCAACGACAGACGGGAUUGGACUACUGUUAUUCAGACUGACCGAGCAGGGUCAGACACAAGGGCAGAGGACAGAAUCACAAAUAAAACGGGAAGAAUUUGUAGAGGUAAACCAGGAUCUAAUAGGGGGGAAAAAAAGAACAAUUAGUAAUGUGGUGUGACGUACUAAAUACACUCUCGCAAAGCGAACGCAAUGUACAUGGAUGCCAUUUAGUGAAAAGAUAAGCACUGAGAUUGCAAUCAACUCAAUUUACAUGAAACAAAACAAGAGACGCCAUCCCCCAAAUCAAAACCAACAGAGGACAAAAGAAGGUUAACAAUAAGGAAUGUGAGCCAGAAAUACGCUGAGGAACGCAGAUAAGGGUGGCUAGAAAAUGCAUCGUCUUGAACAAAUAAAAGAUGACACUCGCUAGAAGCAAAGAAAAAACUGUCAUGGGUCACAAUGUUAAGUAGACCUGCACCUGAUUCUAAUUUAAAAAAAAUAUUUUUUAUUUUUAUUUUUUG